ACGAGUCCAACCAUGGCUGUUUCUGGCAGACCCUGCAGACCCUCAUCCUGGCCUUCCCAGAGCUGUAUCCCCAGCUUCUGUAUUCCCAUACAAAAUCUAUGGGGCUACAGCAGCUUUUGGUACAGGGUUUGGGGCUGGCAGUCCGCCCUGAGCUCUGCAGGCUUUGUCCCUGCUUUGGAAACACCUGCCCAAGGCCACGAGAACAUCCUUGUGCCCACACCGUGCUGGGAUGGAAGGUCCCACGCUGCAUGGCUGGAGAAACCACUGCAGCCUCUGGGUUUCAGUGCGGGGCUCCUUCUGUUUCCUCAUGAGAUUUUGCUCUCAUCAACACAAGCUGGGAAAAGCCACCAGGCAUUCUUUGGCAUGGGAAUGCACCAGCACUCAAUUUGAAGACCUUUAUCAAACCACCCAGCGCAGCUCCAGCUUUGGUUCCAAUCACACACCCAGGUAUUCAUUGUGUUUAAUUGCUUUAUGCUGGUUUUGCAGAGCUUGGGUUUUGCCUCCGGGCCAAUCCAGCAGCUGUCUGC
rnacentral:lncRNA from 1 species